GGAGUCGGCCAGGCAAUCGCCCCAGCGCAAGCCAGGGAGGAAAGUCCGGGCUCCAAAGGGUAGAGUGCCAGGUAACGCCUGGGAGGCGCGAGCCUACGGAAAGUGCAGCAGAAAAUAAACCGCCUGUUUUUCAUUCGUGAGAGGCAGGUAAGGGUGAAAUGGUGCGGUAAGAGCGCACCGCGCGGCCGGUAACGGGCGUGGCAGUGUAAACCCCACUCGGAGCAAGACCAAAUAGGAAUCCGCUAAUCGUGACCCGCGAUGGGAUUCGGGUAGGUCGCUAUAGGUGUCCGGCGACGGGCAUCACAGAUGAAUGAUUGUCCUCGACAGAACCCGGCUUACCGGCCGGCUCCUUAU
rnacentral:RNase_P_RNA from 2 species